ensembl:lncRNA
CAUGGUGGUUCACGCCUAUAAUCCCAGCGCUCAGGAAGCUCAAGCGAGAGGAUUGCUGCAAGGUUGAGGCAGCAUUUCAGCUUGUUGAGUCUCAGAAAAGCCCUAGAUCAACCCAGCAGGAGACAGAUGAGAAAGGCAACAGAGAAGGUGAUACUGUCAAUACCAAUCUAAUACAGCAACUUGCACAGGGAUGAAGAGUCAGAGACGGGAAGUUUCACAUAGCUGUCUCAAAGUCAUGCAGCUACCAGGCAACAAAAACACAAGUCAAGCCUGUCCACUCCAGAGCGUCACCACCCACUAGGACUUUGCUGGUACCACCUCGAACAUGGAGAGGAAGAGGAAGAAGGCACUGCAUAUUUCAGCUCUGAGGGGGGUCUCCUUCCUGAGGCUCUGGACUCACCCACCCAGUUGGGGUAGGAGGGCCCCCCAAGGCAAGCCAAGAGCUUCGGGAAUUUGUAUAGAGGGGCCAUCAGUGAGGGAAGUGUUUGAAACCACAAUGAUUGGGCACCUGUCACAGCAAAGUUAAAUCUGCUCUCAAAUGUUCACACCCAGAGAACCUCUCCCAACAUACACACAUGGAAAUACAGUUUGCCAAGAUUCAAAAUAGCAGAGGCACUUUAUGCCAGAUGGGAGGUGGUGAAAGCAUCCACCCUGAAGGCCUCCAGUGUAUCCUAUCUGAGGAGAGACAUCAAAGAAGAUUCCUGAAAUGCCCCAGGGAUCCCAGAGCUCCAAAGAGGGAGUUGGGACCUCCACAGACACAGCCACCCAUAUCCCUAGCUUGCAUCUACACCCUCCAGUGAGCUGUGCAAACAUUCUCUGGGCAGUUGCACAAUGUACCUUACAGGACAUUAUACACUGAAUUGCAGACCAAGUGAACAUUCAAAGCUGCACACCUCAUCAUUUUAUUUACAAAGUGUUGUGGGACUGUGUGAUUCAAAAGUUAAUUACUCCCCUAGAUUCUGUUGUAAAUUUGAUGGUUGGAGUGUGUUUGCCUCGGGACAAUGGACAAUCAGUAAUAGGGCAAGGUUACUCAGCCAUCUGUUUGCCCUAAAUCCAAAUGUCCCGGGGCCCAGUAUCUAUAGGACAAUCUGUAAACAGGGUGGUCGUAACUGUCAGUCAGGAUGUCUGCUGAACAUCAGCAUGUGACAAUGAGCCACUAACCUUUGUUCUUUUUUUUUCUGUGAAUCCACAUGUUAACCCCUCCC